rnacentral:rRNA from 1 species
AGAGUUUGAUUCUGGCUCAGAACGAACGCUGGCGGCGUGGAUAAGACAUGCAAGUCGAACGCGAUUUUCUCGGUUAGCAAUAACUGAGAAAAUUGAGUGGCGAAUGGGUGCGUAACACGUGGGAAUUUAUCCGGAAGUGGGGGAUAGCUUGCCGAAAGGCAAAUUAAUACCGCAUAUGCCCGUAAGGGCAAAGUGGGGGACCGCAAGGCCUCACGCUAUCGGAGGAGCCCGCGCCCUAUCAGCUAGUUGGUGAGGUAAUGGCUCACCAAGGCUUAGACGGGUAGCUGGUCUGAGAGGACGACCAGCCACACUGGAACUGAGACACGGUCCAGACACCUACGGGUGGCAGCAGUCGAGGAUUUUUCUCAAUGGGGGCAACCCUGAAGGAGCGACGCCGCGUGGAGGAUGAAGGGCUUCGGCUCGUAAACUCCUGUCACCGACGAACAAGACAUCCGGAUUAAUAAAUCGGAUGUUUGAUGGUAGUCGGAGAGGAAGGGGCGGCUAACUCUGUGCCAGCAGCCGCGGUGAUACAGAGGCCCCAAGCGUUGUUCGGAUUUACUGGGCGUAAAGGGUGUGUAGGGGGUCGGGUAAGUUUGACGUGAAAUCCCGUUGCUCAACAACGGAACUGCGUCGAAUACUGCUCGGCUGGAGGUUCGGAGAUGAGGGCGGAAUUCUCGGUGUAGCGGUGAAAUGCGUAGAUAUCGAGAGGAACGCCGAUAGCGAAAGCAGCCCUCAAGACGAAAUCUGACCCUGAAACACGAAGGCCAGGGGAGCAAACGGGAUUAGAUACCCCGGUAGUCCUGGCAGUAAACGGUGCUCAUUAGAUGUAGGCGGAUUCGACCCCGCCUGUGUCGAACCUAACGGAUUAAAUGAGCCGCCU